rnacentral:rRNA from 1 species
UACGGAGGGAGCUAGCGUUGUUCGGAAUUACUGGGCGUAAAGCGCACGUAGGCGGCUUUGUAAGUUAGAGGUGAAAGCCCGGGGCUCAACUCCGGAAUUGCCUUUAAGACUGCAUCGCUUGAAUCCAGGAGAGGUGAGUGGAAUUCCGAGUGUAGAGGUGAAAUUCGUAGAUAUUCGGAAGAACACCAGUGGCGAAGGCGGCUCACUGGCCCGUUACCGACGCUCAGGCGCGACAGCGUGGGGAGCAAACAGG